CUUCUCCUGGGGUGUCCGACAUCUCCUGUGUAAUUUGAACCUACAUUACUUUAAACGGGACUCCUACAUCACCAUUUUUUAUGUCACGCCUUCGGCUCUGCGCAUGCGCAGAACAAGCUUUGGGAGAGGAAGACAGCGAUAAUGGUUGCGGUAACCCACCUGGCGUUAGCUAGGAGUCAAAUAACAGGAAACGGCAUUUUGGGGUCAAU
rfam:Butyrivibrio proteoclasticus strain P18 genome assembly, contig: Ga0066879_103